rnacentral:lncRNA from 1 species
UAUGGGAGAAAUGGGAGGGACAGGAAGCACCAGCAGAAAUAGCAAUUAAAAAAUGAAGAGGUGAUUGGUGGAUGAGUCAGGUCAAGACUGGUGCAGGAAAAAAAGCAAAGAACAGCAGAGUUUGGUUUUAUUUGCCUUCGUAUUAGUAGUCUGAGCCUCAGUGAAAAAGCAUCAAUAGAGGAGACUAGGUAGGCAGAUGAUAACAGCAGCAAUCUCAAUACCAAGCAGAUAAGGCUAAGACAGUGGUAACCAUGUUGUGACCCUUGAGCCUCCCAUGGUUUCCUGGCAGAUCCUGUGGAACUCCUGUAAUGUCACAGUGUCUAGGGAACAGCCUUGCAGCUGAUCGUUGUCCUCAUCUGUGGGAGGAAUCAAGGUGUCAGCUACUGAGGUUGGUGUCGGGCCUUCCAGAGCCCAGCUGGGUGUAUGUAAGGUGGAUACACCCUGUAUGAAGACCUUGGGAAACCACUGUUCCCUCCUCCAUGGAGAAUCCCAUAGAGCUCUCCAUCCUUCAUCUUUAUGUAGUGUCUUCAUGUGGCUGAUGGCGACAGUUUCUCAACGGGUAUCUCAGUAAACUCAGAAAGGUUGGAUUUCCUGGGACUGGAGGACAGGCUGUAGUGGAGAUAGCUGGAGAUCUCCUAGAAGGGAACUCAUCUGUGUGUCAAGGACUAUUUCUAUCUCCCAGUGAAUCAUGCAGUCUGGGAUGGGAUAUGCUUGUGAGAUGAGAGGUUGUAUGUUUUAGCAUUUUUAUUCCUAAAUAUCCAAUCAUUCUGAUAGCUGCUGAGAUUGUUUGAAUUUCUUUUCAAUAUAUCUUUGAAGGCUGUGGUUCCAAGCUUGUAAGUAGAACCUGUGCCCUGUUGGAUCAGACUAGAAUCUAGGCACGUGAAUAUGCUUUUGUUCAGCUAGCCGACUCUCAAAGUGAGGUUUAUCCUGCUUUUUGGCCAGCCACAGGAGAACAGACAGCAUGUAAUGCAGCACACUUCUUCCCCCUGCCAUGUUAACCUACAAAAAGGUUUUUGCUCCAGCGUAAUGGAAUGUGGCUUUGUAGUCAGUACUCCAGGUCAUGAUGACACUAUGUUUGUGAUGAAGAUAUAUCUGCUCAUCAUCAUUCAGCAAGACUAGCUUGUUACUGCACUGACACACUGUGUGUGUAGAAGAAAUAAAGAACUAGAU